UCAGUCUGUCGACCAAUGGGAUUUGUUCUUAUUAGUCAUGUGAUUUGUGCUGCCCAAUCAGAACACUGCAUCUGUCAAACCUUCACAUGGCUGACUUAAACUGACCACAGUGGUUCCUUUUGAUAAGGGAUCAGCAAAUCUUGAAUUAGGGAUUCAUGGGUCUAAGCUAUAAAUAAAAUUGCAGUAGAAGUUUCACAUUUUAAGAUUUUUAAUUGUAAAAUUGGAUAUCAUUUAAGGGAUUUUGUAUUGAUAGAUUAAUAAUCCUGAUGAAAUGACAAAUAUCUUCUGCUAUUAUUCAUUUUACUUGUUAAGCAAACAAGUUAAAAUACUUUUCUUUUUGUUGGUUAUUUAAGUGUUUGAAUCCUUAAUUAAUUGGAUAUAUAAAUGUACAAAUACAGUCUAAGCGAAAGAAAAAGACAACACUAAUUAUCAUACGGGAGUAAGGAUUUAUUUGCGUGAACAAAUUGGUAUUGAAAGAAAUGCCAAAGUUUUAGCAGUGAAAGUUUAUAUUUGUUGAUUACAUUGCUGCUGGGAAGCCAUAUGGAAUCAUUCAGAUUGGAGAUUUUUACUGUUAUAUUUCUACACCAAAUUGUUUUUUAAAGCAUUUAUGCGUGGACAGUUUAGAUUAGUCUGCUACUUGCAUUCACAUUUUCAGUAGAAUGCCAAUUUCUUAUUAUGCUCCCCAAAAAUUUUCGGGGUGAGCAUAUAGUCGCCGCUUCAUCUGUCCGUGCGUCCGUCCGUGCACAAUUUUUUUCCAGGCUAUUUCUCAGCAAUUAAUGACUGGAAUUCAAUUAAACUUUAUGGGAAGCUUCACUACCAAAAGCAGAUGUGCAUAUUAUCAGCCGGUUCUGGUCGGAUGAUUUUUCACAGAGUUAUGGCCCUUUGAAAUUUUCCAUUAACUGUACAUAUAGUGCAAUUCUUGUCCAGGCUAUUUCUCAGCAACUAAUGACCGGAAUUCAAUGAAACUUUAUGGGAAGCUUCACUACCAAAAGGAGAUGUGCAUAUUAUCAGCCAGUUCUGGUCGGAUGAUUUUUCACAGAGUGAUGGCCCUUUGAAAUUUUCCAUUAACUGUACAUAUAGUGCAAUUCUUGUCCGGUCUAUUUCUCAGCAACUAAUGACUGGAAUUCAAUGAAACUUUAUGGGAAGCUUCACUACCAACAGGAGAUGUGCAUAUUAUCAGCCGGUUCUCGUAGGAUGAUUUUUCACAGUUAUGGCCCUUUGAAAUUUUCCAUUGUACAUAUAGUGCAAUUCUUGUCCGAGCUAUUUCUCAGCAACUUAUUACGGGAAUUCAAUGAAAUUUUAGAGCAAGCUUCACUACCAACAGGAGAUGUGCAUAUUAUCAGCCGGUUAUGGUCGGAUGAUUUUUCACAGAGUUAUGGCCUUUUGAAAUUUUCUAUAAACUGUACAUAUAGUGCAAUUCUUGUCCGGGCUAUUUCUCCCCAACUACUGACUGGAAUUCAAUGAAGCUUUAUGGGAAGCUUAACUACCUUGAGGAGAUGCGCAUGUUAUUUGUUGGUUCUGGUUAGAUGAUUUAUUGAGAGUUAUGGCCCUUUGAAAUUUUUAAGUUGCUAAACCAUCCAUCGUAUUAUUUUGUCCAAAGUUAUGCCCCUCAAGACAUUUCCUUUUAUCUGAAUAUAUAGUGCAAUAUUGUGACAAAAAAAAACUUUGGGGAGCAUCACCUGUCUCCGACGGUUUCUUGUUUGAUAAUUUGUGUGAAAUUGGUAGUAUAUAUUAUUAUUUUUUUAAGUAUCAUUCGAUGAUGUUAGAAACAUCAGGAUCAAGAGCCAAAAUGUGCGAUACAAUGUGUGCUACUAAAAAUGGUGGAUAAUCAAUGGAGAUGCUAGGUUUUCAUUAAGUUUGAAAGAACAUGGAUUAUUCCCAACAAGUCCGUGUCACGAGUAAAUGGGUUGAAUGCCAUAUAAGGUCAGUGUAGCUCCAGAUUUAGUCCGCUACAAAAUCAUGCGAGGUUUUGUUUUCUCAAGAGAAGACAGGGUAGCUCCUGAAUAAACUUGGAGGAUGUGCAGGUUUGUCAGGAACUAUGCAGGCAGUAUAUGCCAUAAGAUCCAUUUCGCAUUAAGAGGGUGUAAAUUGACAGGGUAAUUUAAGUUUAUUUUUACAAAAACUUAAAAAAUUAGCCUGGUGUUAUAUAAUUUUUUGUGCAAAUUUGCAGGGGUCACAAUUAAAGUCCCUCAAUAUAUAAUACAUUUGCAAAUAUUAAGUAAUAACAAGGGAGACCCUUUUUAAAGGCCUUCAAUGCACGUUAAGGCUAGAAACUCCUCAAGUAAAACAAGGUUAAAUAUGAUUUCUACAAACUGCGCAUCUCUGUAUUUUGUUAUCCUAUAAAUUUCCCUAGAUAAAGUUGACAGUUCAAAUGUAUUUUGAAUGAAUUGAUUUGACGCAAGUAUUGCAUUUGCGGCAAUUAUAUUUAUUUUUAAAGGGCAUAAGUAUGCUUAAAAUGACACUGAAGGAAGUAUUCCUCUUAGUCUGUUAACAUGAAUUCUAAUGCAUUUCAAAAGACAUGUACAUGUAGUCGGUGCUGUAUUAUGAGGACUAUGUUAAUAAAAAGGGCCUUGUUAAGGAGACAUAUAAUCAAAAAUGAGUCUUGUGCAAUAUGCUUCCUGCCUAGCUCAAGCCUGGUCUCGAAGUUGUGCAUUCUGGUAAGGAGUAACACUGUUAGUUUAAAUGUUACCAAUUGUAACGUGGUCUCAUUACCGGACAGGGUAGCUGCGCAGGCUGGUCUUGAGCUACACUGGCAGCAUAUGGCUUAAAACCCAAUUUCGCAUGAUGUGGCUCAAAUCAGAUUACAAUCAGGUCUCUGCUUGAUUAGCAUUCCAUGUUGGAAAAUGAUUGAUCAACGCAACUGAGAAAGUGAAAGACAUUUUCAUGGUAAUCAUAAGAAAAUGAUACUUAUACUUGGAAACUUUUUUUUUACAUAGUCUGUUUUACAAAUACUUGUAUAAUAACAGUUUUGUGGAAUUAUGGUAGUCAAGACUUCAUUUUGUGUAAUAACCUGUAUUUAUAGUUAAUCAGAUUUUAAGUGCAUGUCUGUUGUCCAUUGUUAAUUUCUGGCUGCUCAUUUAUUGAAGACAUAAAUUGAAGUUCCCACAUGUUAAGUUGCAUCCUUUCAUGACUGCAAACAUAUUUUCAUCCCUGUGAAAAUAAUGAUGUUUGAACUCGCACUUGUUUAUGGAUGAGGUUUACAUUUUCAAAAAAAAAAUUGUUGCUUUAAAAUUUCUGAUAAAUCAGUUGAAUGUUGAUUGUGUAUUGCUCACAUUAAUAUUGUUUCUGAGGUCCUUAGUUAUGUCAGACAGUUCAUCACUGAUAACUAUAUUAUUAAUGUGCAUACUUAAAAACUAUAUGAAAAAAAUCAAAACUUAUUUGUAUUGUCUGUAUUAAAUUUAAAGAUUCUAUUGUUGUCAGAAUCUGUGCUUUUAUUUGUCUCACAUUUUUGUAAAAAUGUUAACAUUUCUUGCUCGUAUAAAUUGGUCUGUGUUGAUUUGUACAGUGUACAUGAAAAUUCUCAUCAAAUGUAUAUCCUAGUUUUACAAGGGUUUCACUGUUUAGUUGUCUACGGUAAUUCUUAGCUUUGGUAAGAAUGCUGGUGUAAAUGAAGUUGUUAAGGUCAUGUAAUGUUUGGAUAUUGAAAAUUUAAAUUUUGUAAUAACUGAAUUCAUUCUCAUUUAUCUCACUUUCAAGUCUGCAAAAUUGUAACCAUUGGUUUAAUCAACCAUGUUUAAAGUUUUGAGGCAUUUUUAUCUUUCUCAUCUGGCAAAAUCUUUGCUUUCAAGGAUGAAAUCUGCAGAACUGGUGAAAAUUUGUGCUGAGUUUGGACAGUGUUUAAUGCACAAAGGAUUGUGAAUUAUUUUCGUAUAAAAAAUAACAAUUGUAAACUUUAUCCAAUCUGUUACGUUUUUAUGCUCCCCCCAAAUUUUUUGGGGGAGCAUAAAGUCGCUGCUUCGUCUGUCCAUGCGCGUGUCCGACGGUGCACAAUUUUUGUCCGGGCUAUUUCUCAGCAAUUAAUGACCGGAACUUAAUUAAACUUUAUGGGAAGCUUCACUACCAAGAGGAGAUGUGCAUAUUAUCAGCCGGUUCUGGUCGGAUGAUUUUUCACAGAGUUGUGGCCCUUUGAAAUUUUCAAUUAACUGUACAUAUAGUGCAAUUCUUGUCCGGGCUAUUUCUCCCCAACUACUGACUGGAAUUCAAUGAAGCUUAAUGGGAAGCUUAACUACCUUGAGGAGAUGCGCAUGUUAUUUGUGGGUUCUGGUUAGAUGAUUUAUUUAUAGAGUUAUGGCCCUUUGAAAGUUUUAAGUUGCUAAACCAUCCAUGGUAUUAUUUUGUCCAAAGUUAUGCCCCUCAAAACGUUUCCUUUUAUCUGAAUAUAUAGUGCAAUAUUGUGACAAAAAAACCUUUGGGGAGCAUCACCCGUCUCCGACGGUUUCUUGUUUUAAUAAGCUGUCACUGUGCACAUAAAACUGCGUAUAUUUUGAAUGGCAAAAUUAAUUCAGUUUGUUAAACAUGCCAUCAUUAAAAUAAUUCCAAGUUAUUUAGUGUAACUUCUUUUUUUAUAGCUCAGCUGAGCGCAACAUACAUAAUUGUGAAAUUUUGUGAUCAACUUUUGUCUGUCGUCCGUCAAGCGUCGUGAACAUUUGUUUGUUAACACUGUAGAGGCUACAUUUAGUGUCCAGUCUUCAUGAAGCUUGGUCAGUAGAUUUGUCCCACUGAUAUCUUGGAUGUGUUUUAAAAUGGUUUCGGUUUAUUGAAAUACAUGGCCGCCAGUGUUGGGGCAUUUUUUUGCUCUCCAUAUAUAUAUGAGGAGCAUAUAGUUGCCAGUUUGGGGUUCUUUACUUACUUCUUUACUUCUGUCAUUCUUUUGUUACAGUUUCUCAUAGCGCCUUCAAUACUUUACUGAUCUCUUACAUAUUUGGCAUGUAGGUACCUUGCAUGGACCUCUACCUUUUGAUGCGGUUUGAGGUCACUGGGGUCAAGGUCACCGAGGCUAAUAAUAGAUUUUCCGUCACACUUUUGUUACAGUUUCUCAUAGCUCCUUCAAUAUUUUACCUAUCUCUUACAUAUUUGGCCUGUAGGUACCUUGCUUGGAACUCUACCUUUUGAUUAGGUUUGACAUCACUGGGGUCAAGGUCACCGAGGCUAAUAAUAUAUUUUCUGCACACUUUUGUUACCGUUUCUCAUUGCGCCUUCAAUAUUUUACCGAUCUCUUCCAUAUUUAGCAUGUAGGUACCUUGCAUGGACCUCUACCUUUUGAUGAGGUUUGACGUCACUGGGGUCAAGGUCACCGAGGCUAAUAAUAGAUUUUCCAGCACACUUGUUACAGUUUCUCAUAGCGCAUUCAAUAUUUUACCCAUCUCUUACAUAUUUGGCAUGUACGUACCUUGCAUGGACCUCUACCUUUUGAUGAGGUUUGACGUCACUGGGGUCAAGGUCACUGAGGCUAUUAAUAGAUUUUCUGUCACAUUUUUGUUACAGUUUCUCAUAGCGCCUUCAAUAUUUUACUGAUCUCUUCCACAUUUAUCAUGUAGGUACCUUGCAUGGACCUCUACCUUUUGAUGAGGUUUGAGGUCACUGGGGUCAAGGUCACCAAGGCUAAUAAUAGAUUUUCUCAAAGUCAAAUUUUGGUUACAGUUUCUCAUUGCGCCUUCAAUAUUUGACCGAUCUCUUGUAUAUUUGGGAUGUAGGUACCUUGCAUGAACCUCUAGCUUUUUGAUAAGUUUUGAGGUCACUGGGGUCAAGGUCACCGAGGCUAAAAAUAGAUUUUCUCAAGGUCACACUUUUUUCAACACAGUUAAACCAUAUAUCGUCAAAGCAUCAUUGGGGAGCAUCCAUCAGUUUUGCUGAUAUUCUUGUUCCUUAUUUAGCUAUUAUUAUAGUUAAUCCUUGUUUACACUUGAAGUUGAAUCGUCACUGAACAUGGUCUGAAUUUGUUCUAAUGAUAUCUUGGCCUGCACAGAACAGGUCACCUCCUUUUUAUCUUAUGUGAGCAACUUUGAGCCUUUCAGGCCCUCUUGUUUUAGCUCAUGUGAACACAUAUUGAAUAUAUAGUUAUUAGAAUGCUGUGUUGUCUGACUAUGUGUGUGGAUGUGUCUGUUAAGGUUUUCCCCCAAUUUCUUUUUCUCCUUAACAGCUUGGCAGAUUUGAAUUAAACUUCUCAGGAGUAAUUCUUUGGUGGCCCUUUUUCAAAGCUGUUCAAAGCCCUCCGGUCCAUUGCAUAUGUAGGUCACCAAAUUUAAACAUACCGGUAAAUUUAAAACAUGAAAACUUCAACACUUCUCUGAAACCAUAUCCUGGGGCUAUAUUGUUUCCUUUAUUAUGUGCGUAGUGAAAACUUCAAAAAUCUUAAACACAUUAGUUCGGUAUUUGGCAUCUAACAUAUGAUGGUUCUCUACCAAAUUUGUUGUAUCAUGUGAUUGGGGUCAAAACUUGCCCCAAACUUGGGAGUAACUUGUUUACCUUAUAUGCUUACUGUGAAAACUGUGAAAAUCAUCUCUCAAACUGUGAGGCACAGAAGGUUUAUCUUUGGCAUGAAACAUGGUAUGUUGAUCCUCUGCCUUGUCUGUUGAAAUCAUGCCCCUGGUGUCAAAAUUGUCUCCACCUAGGGUCAAGUUGUUUUCUUUACACAUGUAUUUGGUAGUACAAAAUUUACACAUUUUUUCAUCUGAAACCAGUUUGGUAUAUGGCAUGUAACAUCAAAUUAUGCCCCUGGGGUCAACAUUGCUAAUAAUUUGGUUUAAUGAUAUUCUGCCAAGUUUUAAAAUCAAUGUGGUUGGUUGAAAAGUUUGGCCAAAUGGGUGCAAGUUUCCUGAUAUGGCUGUAUUAUGUGAACUAUUCUUCAUGUUGCUUUUUUGUCUAAUGUUUAGUGUAACUGGCUCAUUUGUUCUUAUGAUAUCUGGGCCAUUUUCAAAAAUGAUGUAGAAAAAAAUCACAAAAAGUUGCUGAGAACAGGUCAGUUCCCAAAAUGUCAGGUGAGGGAACAAGGGAUUAUGGCCCUUUUGUUUAAAAUAAAUUAGAUGUGAGUAGUGCAAUUUUUUUUUACUCUCUUUUUUUUUAAACAUGUUUGUGCAACUAAACUUCUAUUGUAUUAGCUUCUUUCUCAGGUGCUGUUUUGUAAUUGUUUCAAAACCACACUCCAUCAGAAUUCGCGGUUUAAUCCUAACAAUUUGAUUAUAUCAAAAUAAUAUUUAUGUCCUUAACAUGAAAGAGCCUUAAUCAAUGCAACUACAUGCGUCACAAUAAGUUUAUUGCAAAGUUUCAUUUCGUACCUGAUUCAAAAUUAUUAUAGAUUUCAAUUGGAGUUUAUUGAGUAAAUGUUAUUAUUUAUUUGUACCAUUAAAUAAUGAAAAUUAUAAUGCAACAUGUUAAAUUUAGUGGACUGUUAACUGCCAAAGAAGUGUUAGCUUGAAGUAAUACUAGUUCACGUUUUGGGCAAUGUUUAAUGACUUUGAUAUGGCUUGAUGUAAUGCCGGACAUUGACAUGGGUUGAUGUUAUGUCGUUAUCAAUUACAGUUGGUUUAGUGUUUAAUACUUUAAUGUUAUAACCAUGAAAUUGAUACCUUAACAAGAGGUGAGGUUAGAUUGUGUGGACCAGAACAGAGACAUUAUAUGGACAAUAUUGGAUGUUUUAUCGCAGUAGGUUGCAGUUCAUCCAAAGUUUUUUGGUUUAUAUCGGAUAAUAUGUUGUGUAGGAUCUUACUUGUAUAAUCAUAAUUUUUAAUUCAUUGACAGCUAGCUGUUUAUGACAUUUACCUUUACAUAUUUGAAUUUGUUUGUCAAUGUAUGAGGCUUAUUGCACUGUGAAACAGUCGUUAUGUUAACCCUUUCAGUGCGGGAACCGAAUUUUGAAGGCCUUUGCAAACAGUUUUGAUCCAGAUGAGACGCCUCAGAACGUGGUGUCUCAUCAGGAUCCAAACUGUUUGCUAUUCUGAUAAUAUUCUUUGAAAAAAAUCGAAGAAAAUGCUUAUUUUAGAAAUACAGCAGACAACAUUUUAGCAGAAGACAAAUAUCCCAGCAUGCAAAGGGUUAUCUUUGUUAUAAUAUGAGCCUUUAUGAGCUUUGUGCAUUCGGCACAAGAAAAUAAGGGAAGAUACUUUCGGCUUUUAUGGGAUUUUGUGUUUAAAGAAAGUCUCUUUUAUACGAAAAUCCAGUUUAGGCGGAAAGUUUCAACCCUGAUUAGCUUGUGUGUACUGCAUCGGCUAAUCUGGGAAGACUCUUUUUACGCACAUGCAUUUAGCCCAGUUUUCACAGAACAAGGCUUUUAUGUUUAUGUUAUGUAGAAGGCAAGUCACCAGAAAAUGGUUGCUUUAUCAUACAUCUGUACAGUAUCCACUAUUUGUGGUUCUAUUAUUUUAUAGUUUCGUCUUCUUUGUACAUGUCGGUUUCGUAUACUUAUUACAACUUACUAUUUUUUUCCCUUCCGUUUUGCAGAAUUGUAUGCAUGCAUAUUGAGUAAAACUGUUGUUAUUGUAAUGUUAAAGCAUUUCCAAGAUGCACUUUGAAAUUAAAUAUUCUGUAAAUGUCA